rfam:Streptomyces nodosus strain ATCC 14899 genome.
CUUCACCGAGCCGAGCAGCAGCGGCUGCUGCGGGUCACGGUCGGAGCCAUAGGUGGCCAGCAGGGCCUGGGCCUC